GUGUUUCCGGCAGGUCCACUACCAGGAUGCCAAGGGGCCCGAGAGGUCUAUAAGAAGCUCCAUGACCUCUGCCAUCUGUGGCUCAGGCCGGAGCAACACACCAAGAACCAGAUUUUGGACAUGCUCAUCCUGGAGCAAUUCCUGGCGUCAUUCCCCCGGAGAUGCAGAGAUGGGUCCGGGAAUGUGGAGCAGAGACCAGUUCCCAAGCCGUAGCCCUGGCUGAAAUUUUCCUCUUGACCCAGGCCGAAGACAAGAAACAAGAAGAACAGCAGUAUACAGAAUCGGGCCCCAACUUUCCCGAGCCCUUCAAGACUUCCUCAGAUGCCCGACAGAGCGCUCUGCGAAGGUGGAUGAAACACGAAGGGGACGCAACGUCCAUCCUACAAGGGCACAGUGAUGACAGAGGAUGUGGCUGUUCAGGUCACCGAGAAAGAAGCGAUCCUGCCAGAUCCUGGCCAGAAAGUUUUCCGCAAGCAAACCGUGGAGCAAGACUGUGGACUAAUGGCUGCCUUUGAAGCCGAUAAGUGGGCAGCCGAGAGAAAAGGAGACCCAUCACUGGGGCUGCCAGAAGGAGAUGGCAUUAAGAAGAGGGAGAAGCAGAGGAGAAAAUCGGUACCGAAUCGAAAAGGAUGAUGGAACUGAAUGAGUGCUCCGCUUCUCAGAGCAGCAAUUUCCAUCAAAAUGCAGUCCAAGAAAAAUAGAGAAGAUGAAUAGUAAGUG
rnacentral:lncRNA from 1 species